rnacentral:rRNA from 1 species
UACGUAGGGACCAAGCGUUGUCCGGAAUCAUUGGGCGUAAAGAGCGUGUAGGCGGCUUGUUAAGUCUUGCGUGAAAUCUCGGGGCUCAACCCCGAGCGGUCGUGAGAAACUGGCAGGCUAGAGUGCGGGAGAGGCGAGUGGAAUUCCUGGUGUAGCGGUGAAAUGCGCAGAUAUCAGGAGGAACACCAAUUGCGAAGGCAGCUCGCUGGGACGUUACUGACGCUGAGACGCGAAAGCGUGGGGAGCAAACAGG